rnacentral:rRNA from 1 species
GAUGAACGCUGGCGGCGUGCCUAAUACAUGCAAGUCGAGCGAACAGACGAGUAUCUUGAUCCUCUGACUUUAGCGGCGGAAGGGUGAGUAACACGUGGAUAACCUACCUAUAAGACUGGGAUAACUUCGGGAAACCGGAGCUAAUACCGGAUAAUAUAUUGAACCGCAUGGUUCAAUAGUGAAAGACGGUUUUGCUGUCACUUAUAGAUGGAUCCGCGCCGCAUUAGCUAGUUGGUAAGGUAACGGCUUACCAAGGCAACGAUGCGUAGGCGACCUGAGAGGGUGAUCGGCCACACUGGAACUGAGACACGGUCCAGACUCCUACGGGAGGCAGCAGUAGGGAAUCUUCCGCAAUGGGCGAAAGCCUGACGGAGCAACGCCGCGUGAGUGAUGAAGGUCUUCGGAUCGUAAAACUCUGUUAUUAGGGAAGAACAAAUGUGUAAGUAACUAUGCACGUCUUGACGGUACCUAAUCAGAAAGCCACGGCUAACUACGUG